GUUGAGAGGAAUGUUGUCUGGCUCGAGGUCAUGGAGGAGGAGGAGAGUACUGAGAUGAGUGAAAGUUUCCAAUGGAAAUUUACCCUCUUAACACAAAAAAAAAUUGAUUCUCGGACCAGGCUUCAUUCCCCACACC
rnacentral:pre_miRNA from 1 species